GACGAACGCUGGCGGCGUGCUUAACACAUGCAAGUCGAACGAAGAGCGACGGAAGCUUGCUUCUAUCAAUCUUAGUGGCGAACGGGUGAGUAACGCGUAAUCAACCUGCCCUUCAGAGGGGGACAACAGUUGGAAACGACUGCUAAUACCGCAUACGAUCUAAUCUCGGCAUCGAGGAUGGAUGAAAGGUGGCCUCUACAUGUAAGCUAUCACUGAAGGAGGGGAUUGCGUCUGAUUAGCUAGUUGGAGGGGUAACGGCCCACCAAGGCGAUGAUCAGUAGCCGGUCUGAGAGGAUGAACGGCCACAUUGGGACUGAGACACGGCCCAGACUCCUACGGGAGGCAGCAGUGGGGAAUCUUCCGCAAUGGACGAAAGUCUGACGGAGCAACGCCGCGUGAGUGAUGACGGCCUCCGGGUUGUAAAGCUCUGUUAAUCGGGACGAAAGGCCUUCUUGCGAAUAGUGAGAAGGAUUGACGGUACCGGAAUAGAAAGCCACGGCUAACUACGUG
rnacentral:rRNA from 1 species